GUCCCUAUAGCUCAAUGGUAGAGCGUCAGUCUUUAAAACUGAAGGGCUGUAGUUCGAUUCUACAUGGGGACC
rnacentral:tRNA from 1 species